UGGGGAAUAUUGCACAAUGGGCGCAAGCCUGAUGCAGCGACGCCGCGUGCGGGAUGAAGGCCUUCGGGUUGUAAACCGCUUUCAGCAGGGACGAAGCGGAAGUGACGGUACCUGCAGAAGAAGCGCCGGCUAACUACGUGCCAGCAGCCGCGGUAACACGUAGGGCGCGAGCGUUGUCCGGAAUUAUUGGGCGUAAAGAGCUCGUAGGCGGCCUGUUGCGUCCGCUGUGAAAGCCCGGGGCUUAACCCCGGGUCGGCAGUGGAUACGGGCAGGCUAGAGGUAGGUAGGGGAGAAUGGAAUUCCCGGUGUAGCGGUGAAAUGCGCAGAUAUCAGGAGGAACACCGGUGGUGUAGACGGCUUACUGGACCACGACUGACACUGAGGCACGAAAGCGUGGGUAGCAAACAGGAUUAGAUACC
rnacentral:rRNA from 1 species